GUGAAAUUGUUGGAAAGGAAACGAUUAAAGUCAGUCGUACCAACGGGAAAUCAACCUUUUGAGUUCGGUCUUGUGGGUUUGUAAGAGUUUCAAAGCCUUCUGAUUUGUGAGAUUGGGAUCUCUUGGUGCACUUUUUCGUACGGUUAGUCAACAUCGGUUUUAAUCAUUAUAAAAUGGUUGGAGGAAUGUGGCUUCGAUCUCGUAUUGAAGUGUUAUAGCCUUUGGUAGAUGUGAUGUUCGAGACCGAGGAUUGCAACGGAUACCCUUCUGGGCUAUUCGUCUGAUCUCUGAAACGUUGCCUUGAUGUCGAAAGCUUGCUUAUGAUGUUAGGGUAUUACGGUCAAAAGGUUAGAACGGAUUAAAUUCGUUAAGGAUGUUGACGUAAUGGCUUUAAACGAC
rnacentral:rRNA from 1 species